AGCUAGCUUAGCUACGGACCACGACUACGACACACGACCAUCCCCUGGUAGGUGCAUUGGAUGCAGCUCACACGAGGAUAGUGGAACUGGAGAACUUCAAUGAAGGACUCGUCUCACCAAAUCCUCUCCUCUACACGGAAAUGUCUGACUUGGUGUCAGUGACUGUCACACCAGGGAAGGCCAGUGACCGCAAGCUGACCUUGCACCUGGGUGAAAUUCCAGUGACUCAUUUUUAGUUGAGGUUUCCCCCCAACAAACUUUAUGUGAGGUGCCUCGUGAUGCUGGUGAUGUCUGGCCAUUUCACCUCCAUUAGUAUAGUGGGGAACCUGCAAAGGAUCAACCACCUGACAAUCUAGGCUUGCACCCAGAUGUAUCAUAACGAUGCUGC